CCCUUAGAUGUUCUGGGCCGCACGCGUGCUACACUGUGUAAAUCAAUGGGUAAGGGAACACGAAAGUGCAACCUAAUCUUGAAAUUUGCUCGUGAUGGGGAUCGACGGUUGCAAUUUUCCGUCGUGAACGAGGAAUACCUUGUAGGCGCGUGUCAUCAUCACGCGCCGAAUACGUCCCUGCCCUUUGUACACACCGCCCGUCGCUCCUACCGAUUGAGUGAUCCGGUGAGGCUCUGGGACCUGGACGGAAAGAGCGUUUCGCUUGUUCUGUUUGGGAAACUUGGUCGAACCUUAUCAUUUAGAGGAAGGAGAAGUCGUAACA
rnacentral:rRNA from 1 species